AUUGAACGCUGGCGGCAUGCCUUACACAUGCAAGUCGAACGGCAGCACGGGUGCUUGCACCUGGUGGCGAGUGGCGAACGGGUGAGUAAUACAUCGGAACAUGUCCUGUAGUGGGGGAUAGCCCGGCGAAAGCCGGAUUAAUACCGCAUACGAUCUACGGAUGAAAGCGGGGGACCUUCGGGCCUCGCGCUAUAGGGUUGGCCGAUGGCUGAUUAGCUAGUUGGUGGGGUAAAGGCCUACCAAGGCGACGAUCAGUAGCUGGUCUGAGAGGACGACCAGCCACACUGGGACUGAGACACGGCCCAGACUCCUACGGGAGACAGCAGUGGGGAAUUUUGGACAAUGGGCGAAAGCCUGAUCCAGCAAUGCCGCGUGUGUGAAGAAGGCCUUCGGGUUGUAAAGCACUUUUGUCCGGAAAGAAAUCCUUGGCCCUAAUACGGUCGGGGGAUGACGGUACCGGAAGAAUAAGCACCGGCUAACUACGUG
rnacentral:rRNA from 1 species